CAUUUCUUUCAUCUUCUUGUAGCGAUAAACAAUGCCGAAUAUAUUUAAUAGCUGCCUCUUAUACUCGUGAAUGCGCUUGAUCUGAACAUCAAACAUCGCAUCGGGACUGACCACGUAUCCUGUUUUUUCUUUAAUGAGAGAGACAAUCUUCAUUUUGUUAUUUCCUUUUGCCUUCCUCCACUCAGACUGGAGUUCUUCGUUAUCAGCAAACUUUCGAAGCUCUGCCAAUUUUUCAGUGUUUACCAACCAAUCAUCAGAUCCUGUCCAUUUGGUUAUAAUUUCACUCAACUCUGGGUUACAGAAACUUAACCAUCUUCUUGGUGUCACACCAUUUGUCUUGUUUUGGAAUUUCUCUGGCCAUAACUUGUAAAAUUCAUUGAAAACUUCAUCUUUAACUAUUUCACUAUGAAUCUCAGCAACACCGUUAACUGCAUGACCACUAACUACACAUAGAUUUGCCAUGUGAACCACCUGUGGUCUAUUUGCAUGUGGCCCGAAUAUCCGUUUUAUUUUUGCUUGACUAUCCUUGACCUCAACCUUCUCAACCUCAGUUUCCUCCUCUACGUUCGUAGUUUCUGCUUUUACAGCCUCAGUUUCCUCAUCUUUACCUUCUUCUAGUUGUUCUUCUUCUGCUGCUUUUUCGACAUCAGCAGCAUUUUCUUCGGCUUUGAUAAGUAACUCCAAAACAGAAGUAGGUAUUUCAACAUUAUCCAGAAUCCUCAUUUGGUUUAGCUUUUCUUGCAACAAGUCAAGAUCUUCAGUACCAUAUUCAGUAAGUAUAGUUAGCAAAAGCUCCUCAUCUAUCAUUGCUAUGAUCUCCACGUGCCGAGGAAGCAGUUCACCAAGAAGUGUGAAGCUCCAUUUCUCUAGAGCCUCGGGUAAAACAGUGUGGUUAGUGUAUGCGACCGUUCUUUGAGUAAUUCCCCAUGCCUGCUUCCAGCUCAAACCUUUAACAUCUAUCAAUAUCCUUAAAAGUUCUGGUAUGCAAAGUGUUGGAUGAGUGUCAUUCAUCUGUACUGCAACCUUUUCCGGGAACUGAUCCCAGUUCACUGCAUUCCCUGAUCUCUUCUCGAACCGUGCAAUAAUGUCCUGAAGAGAAGCAGAACAUAGGGUGUAUUGUUGCUUUAACCGAAGUGUCUUUCCCUCAAGUGACUCGUCACCUGGAUAUAAGACAUAGCAAAUCUUCUCAGCCUUUUUCUGUGCCUCAUAUGCUUUGGCAUGGUCUCCGUUGUUAAAAGCAUGUAGAUCAAAAGCUUCUGCAGCUAGCUUUGUUGACCACAGUCGAAGGUUGAUAGUUGUUUUUGUUUUAUAUCCUGGUAUUGGGACA
rnacentral:misc_RNA from 1 species